rnacentral:rRNA from 1 species
CGCCUGGGGAGUGCGGCCGCAAGGUUAAAACUCAAAUGAAUUGACGGGGGCCCGCACAAGCGGUGGAGCAUGUGGUUUAAUUCGACGCAACGCGAAGAACCUUACCUGGCCUUGACAUCCAGAGAACUUUCCAGAGAUGGAUUGGUGCCUUCGGGAACUCUGAGACGGGUGCUGCAUGGCCGUCGUCAGCUCGUGUCGUGAGAUGUUGGGUUAAGUCCCGUAACGAGCGCAACCCCUAUCCCUGGUUGCUAGCAGGUAAUGCUGAGAACUCCAGGGAGACUGCCGGUGACAAACCGGAGGAAGGUGGGGAUGACGUCAGGUCAUCAUGGCCCUUACGGCCAGGGCUACACACGUGCUACAAUGGCGCGUACAGAGGGCUGCCAACUCGCGAGAGUGAGCCAAUCCCUUAAAACGCGUCGUAGUCCGGAUCGGAGUCUGCAACUCGACUCCGUGAAGUCGGAAUCGCUAGUAAUCGCGAAUCAGAAUGUCGCGGUGAAUACGUUCCCGGGCCUUGUACACACCGCCCGUCACACCAUGGGAGUGGAUUGCACCAGAAGUAGUUAGUCUAACCUUCGGGAGGACGAUUACCACGGUGUGGUUCAUGACUGGGGUGAAGUCGUAACAAGGUAACCGUA